rnacentral:rRNA from 1 species
GACGAACCGUGCGAACGUUGUUCGGAUUCACUGGGCUUAAAGGGCGCGUAGGCGGACGGUCAAGUCGGGGGUGAAAUCUUUCAGCUUAACUGGAAAAGUGCCUCCGAUACUGAUCGUCUCGAGGGAGGUAGGGGCAUGUGGAACUUCCGGUGGAGCGGUGAAAUGCGCAGAUAUCAGGAGGAACACCAAUGGCGAAGGCAGCUCGCUGGGACGGUACUGACGCUGAGACGCGAAAGCGUGGGGAGCAAACAGG